rnacentral:rRNA from 1 species
AUGGUGCAGCGCCUGACGUACCGGAAGCGGCACAGCUACGCCACCAAGUCCAACCAGACCAGGGUCGUCAAAACCCCAGGAGGGAGGCUUGUGUACCAGUACACCAAGAAAAGGGCGAGCGGGCCGAAAUGUCCGGUCACCGGCAAGAAGAUCCAGGGGAUACCUCAUCUAAGGCCUACUGAGUACAAAAGAUCAAGAUUAUCCAGGAACAGGAGAACAGUGAACCGUCCUUAUGGUGGUGUUCUAUCUGGUCAGGCUGUUAGGGAGAGGAUCAUCCGUGCUUUCCUUGUCGAAGAGCAAAAGAUUGUGAAGAAGGUUUUGAAGAUCCAGAAGACCAAGGAGAAGCAGCCAUCAAAGUGA